AAUCAACGCUGGCGGCGUGCCUCAGACAUGCAAGUCGAACGAUUAAGACUUCCUUCGGGAAGUGCAUAAAGUGGCGCACGGGUGAGUAACACGUAAGUAAUCUACCCUCGAGUGGGGAAUAACGUUCGGAAACGAACGCUAAUACCGCAUAACGCAGCGGCACCGCAAGGUGACAGUUGUUAAAGGAGCAAUCCGCUUGAGGAGGAGCUUGCGGCAGAUUAGCUAGUUGGUAAGGUAAUGGCUUACCAAGGCUACGAUCUGUAUCCGGCCUAAGAGGACGGUCGGACACACUGACACUGAAUAACGGGUCAGACUCCUACGGGAGGCAGCAGUCGGGAAUUUUGGGCAAUGGGCGAAAGCCUGACCCAGCAACGCCGCGUGAAGGAUGAAGUAUUUCGGUAUGUAAACUUCGAAAGGAUGGGAAGAAUAAAUGACGGUACCAUUUAUAAGCUCCGGCUAACUACGUGCCAGCCGCCGCCGUAAUAC
rnacentral:rRNA from 1 species